CUGGGUGUCAGGCUUGUGUUGGGGACCAGGCAGGCAGUGACUCUGUAGAAAGGGCUGGUCCAGACAGCCCCAGUCUGGGCAGGUGCUUUGGGUGGAGGUUAGCCGUUGUCCUUGUAUGGUGCCACGGAAUCCACUGUGUUCUGGAUGUGAAUUGGGCAAGCAGUUCUCUUCCCUGGCUGUGACAAGAAGAUAGCAACAUUCUUGGGAGUGUUCUGGAAAGGUUUGACAGCUUCCCUUGCAGCUAGAAAUGAAUGACCCGUGAGCCACGCAGGAACUGUAGAAGGGAGCUGCUGGACGUCUCUUCAGGACUCAGCUGCAAGGCACAUGUCCUUGAUUUCCACGUUCUGCCUGGCAUUCAGACGUAAAGGUUAAAGCGGCAAAGGCCAUCUUGAACCCGGAGCUGACCCUUCAAACCCCAAAGACAAAGGUGUCUGAGUCCCGGCGGUGACGGAGGAGCCACAUGGAUCCUGGCUGGUCUUGCUCUGUGCUUGUUUACAUGGAGAAAAGCACUGUUCAUUGAGACCUUUGUCAUUUGGUUUCCUGUUACUGGCAGCUGAAUUCAUUUCUGAUACAUUUGCCCAAAUGGCACAGAGCUGACUGGGUCUCUUUGUCACCUGUGUUUCUUAGUGGUGGCCCUACGGCUUCCUUGUCUGGGCUGAUCUGCUGCCACCAUUGCCCUGAGUGCAGAAAAGGUCUCUGUUAGAUCAGGUGAAAGGGUUGAUUAAUGCAUUUGAAUUACAGAAGUCAUGUGUGAAGGCGCCUGGUGGCUCCAGGUGACUCUGGAGUCUCAGUGUGCUUCAGGUAAGGCUUGACCUGGGCCCUUGGUCUGGGGAGAAACCUCCCCACUGGCUUCAGUAGGCUUCAGACCCUGCUUUUUCUCCUGAGUCCAGAAAGGGGGUCCUGAGUGUCAGAGAGGCCCAGGCCCUGUUGUGGGGAAUAGAACAUGUUAUCAACUGCGUAGGGCCCAGAUGUCACCCAGAAUGACCUCUCUGCUCCAAGCCCCAGCCACCAGCACCUGCUGCCUGGAGAUGCCAGUCUACCAGGGCUGGAAGGCACCUUCGCCAGCCGCCAGGGCCAGCCCCGCUGAGAUCGCUGCAAGGCGAGUCAGGAGGCCAGGGAGCUGGCCGGGUAGGUUAUUAUUUUUAUGGCUGUCACCAGAUCCCUGGCCCAGCCUUGCAACCGUGGCAGGGACAGAGGCAGCCAGGGAGGAGGAAGACUCCUCAGAGGCUUGGUAGCCAGGGGAGGGGCUGUGGAGGAGAGAGCACUGGGGCGGGUCAGGGCCUGCUGGGCCCCAGCCUCUCCUGCUCCAUGGGGUGGCUGACUGAUGAACAGAAGCAACAUUUCUGGCCUUCGUCCCUGACCCCAGGUAUAUGCCUGAGGUGGUCACAGACUGUUUCAAGAACUACACUGAGUCUCUUUUGAGUUCCCUUACACCUACUCCAAGGCCAUUUUCCCUUGUUUUGUAGCCUCAUCCGGUCUGGCCCAUGUGGCUAUCUCCUGUUGUGUGCCCUCUUCCUAAUGUCCACACCUGCAAAGGUAUCUACCUUCUUUCCCAGGCUGCAGCCCCGAAGAGUCCCUCGCCACACCUAGGUUAUCAGUACUCCGAUUUUGUGGUUGAGACAGUGUGUGACGUAGCCUAGGCUGGCCUUGAAAUUCUCAUCCCCCGCACCUCUCCUUCUUGAGUGCUGGGAUUACAGACCUGCACUAUGCCAGGUUUCAGGAGAUGCCAGAGAUCGAACCCCAGACCUCGAGCAUACUAGAUGAGCACACUUUACCCACUGAGCCAUAUCCCCAGCCUCAAUACCUUGAUAUCUGAUAGCAAGAACUGGCUCACUUGGUUCUGUGAAUUGUGUUCCAAGAAUCCUAUACAGUGGUCCCAGGUCCAGCCUGCCGUUUCCCCAGGUGGCAGCGUGUGACUCACUAGUGCCUUUUAUUGCUGAGUGGUGCAAAUACGUGGUUGCUCCCUAAUUUAAUGUCUUGGGGACACAUGGGUUCCUGUCUGUGCUCUUUCGAGGUGGCUGAGGUGAACUCUUUGCAGACAGCUCUUUAAGCGGUUCAGAGUGUGGCCUUCAGGGUCACAUCCUUGGGAGACAGGGAAUGACGGCUGUGUUUGAAUUUCUGCUCGUGGUAACAACACCACGAGUGAGUGUGUGUGUGUGCAUUAAAAAAAAAACACUUUCCUUUUGAAAAAGACGUAAGAUUUAUAGGAAAACGACAAACUCUAAAUGAUAUACUCUGUCUGAACGGAGAAUGAAUCUCUGAGUUGUCAUCAAUCCUUCACGAUUUGCUUAUUUUUAAACUGUUUUUUUGUUUGUUUGUUUUGUCUUGUUUUCGACACAGUCUCCCUAUGUAGCUCUGGCUGCCCUGGCACUCACUGUGUAGAUCAGGCUAGACGUGGUGGCCUCAUCUCCUCACUGACCUGUGCCUCAGCACGCCUGUGUAGCUGCGGCAGGUCGUGGGACUCGGGAAGGCUGUUUGUGGCUCAUACUGUCACAGGUGGUCCCCUCAGCGGCCCCGCAGGUCCAUCUUGCAUGUGACCCAGGCUCUGAGUCUCUGCAGGACCCGAGGGCUGAGCUCGGCUCUGUCCCAGUGCAGACGGUCACAUUCUGGUCACCUGAUCAGAGCACGUCCUGCAGGGCUUCACUUUCGGUUUUGGUUUAGGAUUUUUGAGACCCGCCUGCCCUAGACAAACAGCCCUGGCUGGCCUCAAACUCACAGUCAGUUCCCAGCUUCUGUCUCCUGAGCUCUGAACUCACCGGCAGCCACCAUAGGGGGUCAGGGAGUCAGAUUUGUAAUGUAGCAUCUCUUUCUUUGUACUUAAUAGAGUUUUGAGGGGACGAACUU